rnacentral:rRNA from 1 species
GAACUGAAGAGUUUGAUCAUGGCUCAGAUUGAACGCUGGCGGCAGGCCUAACACAUGCAAGUCGAGCGGUAGAGAGGUGCUUGCACCUCUUGAGAGCGGCGGACGGGUGAGUAAUGCCUAGGAAUCUGCCUGGUAGUGGGGGAUAACGCUCGGAAACGGACGCUAAUACCGCAUACGUCCUACGGGAGAAAGCAGGGGACCUUCGGGCCUUGCGCUAUCAGAUGAGCCUAGGUCGGAUUAGCUAGUUGGUGAGGUAAUGGCUCACCAAGGCGACGAUCCGUAACUGGUCUGAGAGGAUGAUCAGUCACACUGGAACUGAGACACGGUCCAGACUCCUACGGGAGGCAGCAGUGGGGAAUAUUGGACAAUGGGC